AAAACCACGAUUCCAAACUACAGCACCAUAUCAGCAGCUGUUGGGACCUGAUCACUAGACCUUGUGAAGCUGAGAAAAUACAAGUUCCCCUGCACUGAACAGCUUGUUUUCUGUUUUUCCCAGCAUCCAAACUGCACAGAAGAUGGGGUCACUAGUGGAAACAUGCUAAAGCCUACUGUGUUCCCUUUCAGCACAGCCCUUUGUCUUCCUCCUUAAAACCAAAGUGUAGGAAAGGAAGAAAAUGGUGCACAGACAGAUCUCAUCCAAAGUGGGAUGCAACGGGGAAAUACAUGAUCAACAACAGUCCACCCAGGUAUUGGUCUGGAAUUACCAUGUCAAAUUACAAGGAGCUGUCUGGCUAAACAGGUAUAAACUUCUUAUAUGCAAAGUUGCCGACUGCUUCACACAGCCUGCAUCAGUGCAAAUUUACUAAGUAAAGCUGGAACUGACUUUGGGCAGC
rnacentral:lncRNA from 1 species